rnacentral:rRNA from 1 species
GAAUCAACGCUGGCGGCGUGCCUCAGACAUGCAAGUCGAACGAUUAAAGCUCUCUUCGGAGAGUGUAUAGAGUGGCGCACGGGUGAGUAACACGUAAGUAAUCUACCCUCGAGUGGGGAAUAACGUCCGGAAACGGACGCUAAUACCGCAUAAUGCAGCGGCACCGCAAGGUGACAGUUGUUAAAGGAGAAAUUCGCUUGAGGAGGAGCUUGCGGCAGANAGCUUGUUGGUAAGUAACGGCUUACCAAGGCUACGAUCUGUAACCGGUCUUAGAGGACGGUCGGUCACACUGACACUGAAUAACGGGUCAGACUCCUACGGGAGCAGCAGUCGGGAAUUUUGGGCAAUGGGCGAAAGCCUGACCCAGCAACGCCGCGUGAAGGAUGAAGUAUUUCGGUAUGUAAACUUCG